UGGCGACCGGCGCACGGGUGAGUAACGCGUAUCCAACCUGCCUUACACUCUUGGACAGCCUUCUGAAAGGGAGAUUAAUACAAGAUGUUAUCAUGAGUAAGCAUUUUCACAUGAUUAAAGGUUUACCGGUGUAAGAUGGGGAUGCGUUCCAUUAGAUAGUAGGCGGGGUAACGGCCCACCUAGUCUUCGAUGGAUAGGGGUUCUGAGAGGAAGGUCCCCCACAUUGGAACUGAGACACGGUCCAA
rnacentral:rRNA from 1 species